rnacentral:lncRNA from 1 species
UAAGCUAAGAUCGACUACUCACAUACCUCAAUCCAUGCUCAAUUAUAUUUUUCAUGAAAGUUUUUACUUACAAGGAACUUGGCAAUUUUUGUGAAAUUCUUCAAAAUGAGAAUUUCAUUGCUUAUCUUGUAUUUUGAAGGAGAGGUUGCUGAUCUUGUUUUCUUCACUCUACAAGGUAAAUCCGGUACCACCAUUGUAUUAAAAAGACUCCCAUUAAGUAGAAGAACCACCAUGCUGCUUGAAUUUGUCGAAUUUGGAGAAAAAUCCAAAAUUAUCAUUACUAACUUUCCUAAAUCUUUUAGAGAAUUAUAAUUCCAACUCCUAAAUCUUUU